rnacentral:rRNA from 1 species
UACGUAGGGUGCGAGCGUUAAUCGGAAUUACUGGGCGUAAAGCGUGCGCAGGCGGUUCGUUAAGUCAGAUGUGAAAGCCCCGGGCUCAACCUGGGAACUGCAUUUGAAACUGGCGGGCUUGAGUGUGGCAGAGGGGGGUGGAAUUCCGCGUGUAGCAGUGAAAUGCGUAGAUAUCGGGAGGAACACCAGUGGCGAAGGCGACUACCUGGCCCAUUCUUGACGCUGAGGCGCGAAAGCUAGGGGAGCGAACGGG